AAUCCAUCUGAAUCCCACUCUUAUACAGUCAUUCCUGCCUUAUCUCAUCACUAGUCAUUUCAACUACAAAUUUCUUGGGAAAUUUUAAUGUCAUAAGUCCUCUAUGUUAGUUUUUUUUUUUUGUCAACUUGACACUACCUAGAGUCAUUUGGGAAAAGGGACAUUCAAUUGAGAAAAUAUUCCAUAAGAUUCACCUAUAGUGAAUUUUUUGAUUAACAGUUGAUGUGAGAGGGCCCAGCCCACUACGGGGCAGUUUCACACUUAGGCUGAUGGUCCUGGGUUAUAUAAGAAAACAGGCAGAACAAGCCACAGGGAACAAGCCAGUGAGCAACACUCCUCCAUGGUCUCUGAUUCAGUUUCUGCCUCCAGGUUCCUGCGUUGAGUCCUUCCCUUAGUGAUGGACUGUGAUCAGGACUUGUAAACCAAACAAACCCUUUCCUCCCUAAGUUGCUUUGGCCAUGGCCACAGCAACAGAUACCCUGAGCUAUACUCACAAUAUUUAAACCUUUAAGAUGGAUUUAUUUUCCAUAAUGAGGCAGGAGACUUAACAACCCUCUUGUUGGUUUGUCAGCACUGCUGUAGCAAGCGAUUAUGCAGUUGAUGGCUUAAACAAGGCAGGCACUAACUUACAUUUCUGAAUGCCAGGAUGCUAAGUCAUAGUGUCGACAGGGCCAGUGUUUGCCUGCAAAGUGUGGGGAAAGCCAUCCUUGCCUUCCCAGGCUUCUUGUCGGAGCCCCUGAUCUGCUUGCUAUUCCUUGGCUUUCGGCUACUUCCCAUCUCUCUGCCUGGGUGAUCUUAAGGCAUUCUCCUUGCACUCAUCUCCUCUUAUGUAGUUGAGAGCUGUGGCCUAUGCCACUUCAGUCUGACUUUGUUUUGACUAAUUGCAUCUACAGCCUUGUUUUCAAAUAAGCUAGUUUUCUGAAGUUCCUGGGAUGAGCACUUCUUUUUAAGAAGAAGAGGGCACAAGUCAAUUCAGCAACGUUGUCCCACAGGGGUUUGUUUGGAGGCCUGGGCCUCAGAAUACUGGUGUUAAGAUGAUUGAAACCAUUAAGAAGUGGAACACACAUUGGUUGGCUUGCCUAUUGAAAAGAAUAUGUUAAUGCUGUUAUAGCCUUAGUUAUUCUCAAGAAAUCAAGCUUAUAAUAGUGCAAGGAGGAUUCCUUCCGAUUCUGUGGCUUCCUGUCUCACUAUGUGGGAGCCUAAGGUGUGUUCCCACUUCAUUAGUGUCAUGACUCCAGAGGUCAAACUGUUGAGGACUCUCCAUCUUGAACUUUCGGAUCCUAAAGUUCUGCUGAAUAAACCCUUUUGCUUUAUAAAGAA
ensembl:antisense Gm26645 predicted gene, 26645